CGUUGGACUUAUUAUUGGCAUAAUUAUUGGAUCAAUUCUUCUAGUCGUUACUGUUGUUACAGUUUUUGUUGUUAUUUGUUGUUGUUGUUGUUGUAAGAAGUCUCGUGGACAGCCAGGACAGGUGUUUCACCCAGCAAGUGUAACAACAACAACAGUUCAUGGCAUGCAGACAAUAUCACCGACAAGCUAUGGACAAUCUGGAUUCAUCAAUGGUGCAUAUCCACUGCAAAUACAGACAGCAAAUAUGGCUCCUGGUAUAGCGCAGAAAUGGCAAGAACCUCCGCCGCAAUACACAACCACAAACAAUAUCUAGAUCCGUUGAUUCAUACGGCGCAACAAUAAUGUUAAUGUUAUUUGCUGUAUUACCUUCCGUUUUGUGAACUUUAUACUUUGCAGAUUGUACAGUGUGCUUAAAAAUAUGCGUACCAAAUGAUACCAAACACGCAUAAUUGAAAUAUCUAUCUUGUUAAUGAAUUAUUAUGUGCUAAAAAUACUACGGUUGCUUAUACUCUAUCCUGCAGAAAAAUACUAUAACUACUUUUUUCAAGUCUUACUUCUGUCAAAUUAUGUUAUAUAUGUACUUGUAACUGUGUGUCAGACAUACUAGUAGGUACUUUUGGUAAAAAAAAGGUUAAAAUAAUUGUAUUUUGCCUCAAAUAUAGCAGCAUUUUUUAAUAUUGACAAAUCUAACAUAAUUACAUUCACCACUUAGAGUUCCUAGAGAAAACAUUCGACAGAGCUAUAAUAAUAUUGUUUAAGAAACAAUUUGCUUGUUAUUAUUCUGUAUGUAGAUAAUUAAAAAUAAAUGUCUUUAUUUGUAGUAAACCUUUUUGGCAUAUUUAUCCAGGUAUUUCAUUGCAUUAAGCUCAUUUACUACGAGAACUAUUUGACUUUAACAACAAUGUACACGAAAUAGAAAUAUUCAUGUUGUGGGUGUUAUUCAACUGGUUUGUUAUUGUAGCUUGAAAUUUUAAAAUCUGUGUUUUAUUCUGCUUUUUUCUCGAAACUCGGAAGUGAUAAUAAAUAGUACAUCCUAGAACGGAAGUAAUUGUCUUAAAAGACGAAAAUAGAUAUGUGCGACAAUAUAUAUUCACUAUGUUUAGUGAUCUGUUUUAACAAAUGCUAGUUUUGAUAUCCUUCACAGUAUAGAUAUUUUUGCAACAGUUAGAUCAAUACAGAAAAGUGGUACAUGUAUUUAUAAGUUUUCCCAGUUUCUUCCAUUUGUCUUUAAAAAGAAAGGCAGCGAUGUUUUUAUUAACGUUGACUGUUACGAUUUCUUUAAUGUUUAAAGACAGCGAAAAAGAUCAAAAUUGGUUUAACAUUAAAAAAUGACAUUUCAAUAUUUGAUCAAAAUGACAACUAUUUUGUUUUCAUAGUAACAUUGAAAAUUUUAAUAAAAUGGCGGACUAGAG
rnacentral:lncRNA from 1 species